GCUAAGUGCGGAACGGAUAAACGCUGAAGGCAUCUAAGCGUGAAGCCGGCCUUAAGAUGAGAUAUCCCACUGAGUCAAUCAGGUAAGACCCCUUGAAGACUACAAGGUUGAUAGGUUCAAAGUGGAAGCGCCGUGAGGCGUGAAGCUUGCGAAUACUAAUCGGUCGAGGGCUUGAUCUA
rnacentral:rRNA from 1 species